rnacentral:rRNA from 1 species
AUGCGAGCCGCGCGGCGGUUGGAUCUGGAGCCAAAAAAAAUAAAAAAUCGCCCCAGCUUCUUCUUCCUCGGGCCCGUGGCGCAUCUCCGGCGAGAUCCCCUGCGGCUCGCAGCACGGCGCAUCUCCGGUGAGAUCCCCCCGCGGCUCGCAGCACCGCGCAGCUCCAGCAAAGGCCCCCGCGGCACAUCUCCGGUGAGGCCCAGCUCCAGCCCCGCGGCGCAUCUCCGGCGAGGCCCAGCUCCAGCAACGCCCCCGCGGCGCAUCUCCGGCGAGGCCCCCCGCGGCUCGCGGAACCUCACGUCACCGGCCGCAGCACCCGUUGUAGAGCUCGUGUUGUUCCUCAUCCUUAAUUUGCCAGUCGCAGCAAAAAAUUCCACCGGCCAUAGCAAAAAUUCUUGA